rnacentral:rRNA from 1 species
GACGAAAGCUGGCGGCGUGCCUAAUACAUGCAAGUCGAACGGUCUUUUCUAUGGAAGCUUGCUUCCGCUGAGAAGAUAGUGGCGAACGGGUGAGUAACACGUGGGUAACCUGCCCAUAAGAGGGGGAUAACAUCCGGAAACGGGUGCUAAUACCGCAUAGUUUUCUUGAUCGCAUGAUUGAGAAAGGAAAGACGGCCUUGGUGCUGUCGCGUAUGGAUGGACUGGCGGCGAAUUAGUUAGUUGGUGAGGUAACGGCUCACCAAGAAGAGGAUACGUAGCCGACCUGGGGGGGUGAUCGGCCACAUUGGGACUGAGACACGGCCCAAACUCCUACGGGAGGAAGCAGUAGGAAAUCUUCCGCAAUGGACGAAAGUCUGACGGAGCAACGCCGCGUGAGUGAAGAAGGUUUUCGGAUCGUAAAACUCUGUUGUCAGAGAAGAACAAGUCGGAGAGUAACUGCUCCGGCCUUGACGGUAUCUGACCAGAAAGCCACGGCUAACUACGUGCCAGCCGCCGCAGUAAUAC